AAAAUCUCAAAGAUUUUUAAAGAUUGGAAAUCUCAAAGAUUUUCAGUAUAUUUUAAAAUCAUUGAUUUUAAAAACACACCUGCGGAUGCUUCCCAAGUCCGCAGCACUGCA
rnacentral:ncRNA from 24 species